GUUCUUGUGGUGAAUUUACUAUCACGUUAUCUUUUCGAGGUAAAAUUGAGAACAUCUCCAAGAAUA
rnacentral:tRNA from 1 species